GGAGAGGACUGGCACUGGAUAUUUCCUUUCCUCCACAUAGAAGACUAGAGCCAGCUGGAGGUGGGUAUUUAUCUUCCUCAGGUCACUUGUGCUCUGAUAAAACUCCAGCUGCUUAGGUUCUGGUUAACUAGUUUCUGCUGAGAGCAGGCCUCAUUAAGAAGUACAGAAUGCUCUGGUGAAUUUCAAAAUGGUUGCUUCCCUCUCCCACUGGGAGAAGCACAAGGGUAUUUUCCCCUGGUAUUCAUUGUGAGAACCUGGCCAGGCUCCAGGAGGUAAAAUUCACAAAAUGUGGGGACCUCGCUAUGAUUGUGUCACCCUGGAGGUUUUAUCUCUUAGACUUUCCACACGGAGCCUCCAAAUUCUUCAGUUACAGUUAAGGUUUUGCUACUCCACGCUGGUUUCCAUGGAGAUUUCAGCUCAUGGGUUUCUGCUCUGGUUCGUUGCUGAAUCCUUUUCGUAAAUUCAUUGGAGACGAGGUUGGUGGAAACAUGCUAAUGCUAAAUUUCUGUGAUGCGUUCACCUGUAUGGUAGUUGGAGGAGGCUGCAGAAUCUCUACUAUUGGUGUGCCUGGCAUGAAGAUGGCCAGUGAGGAGCAUGAGCAAGAGAUGAAAUUCAGCUCUUACCACCAACCAAGCCAUAUUUACCCUUCAUCAGCCUGGAGAAAGGGGUGCCUUUUGGCUAUUUGCACAAAGGUGCUAUAUGUGCUAACAGCAGUCCAGUUUUGUCUAAGUACUUUAUACAAAUAGAGUCCUAAGUAUAUAUUCUUUUGUGUCUUGCUUCUUUCUCUCAACUUUAUUUUGGUGGCUUCAUCCAAAUUAUUGUAUGUAGUUGUAAUGCAUUCAUUCUCAGUGUUGUAGAGUGUUUACAUAAUUUGCUUAUCUAUUCUGCUAUUGAUGUGCAUUUGAGUAGUUUUAGUUUGGGGCAUAUAAAUAUUUUUGGUAUAACAAUUAGAGUAGAUGUUUUGGGGAAAUAUGUUUACUUAUUUCUGUUUGAUCUAUUCCUGGAACUACUGUUGCUGGAUCAUAGCAUACAUAUAUGAAUGUUUAGUUUUAGUAGUAUCACCAAUAGUUUUCCAAAGUGUUUUGCUAAUUUACAUUCCCACCAUUUGUGUUUGGGGUUCUGGUUAUUCCACAUUUUUGCCAUUACUUAGUAUUUUCAUAUUCUUCAUUUUAGCCAUUCUGAUGGGUAUGUAACGAUUUUCCAUUAUGGUGUAAUUCGCAUUUCCCUGAUAAUUAACAAAGUUGAGCACCUUUCAACAUACGCAUUAUCCAUUUGGAUAUCCUCUUUUAUUGUGUCUCUUAAUGUCUUUUGCCUAUUUUUAUAUUGGAUUGUCCACUUUCUUCUUAUUGAUUAAUAGGGACUCUUUAUACAGUCUUUUGUUAAUUUUGUUUUGAGAAAAUGUUCCCUUAUUUGUAGAUUGCUUUAUCAUUCUCCUAAAGGUGUUUUUGAUAACAGGGAUUCUUAAUUUUAAUCUAAUAUGGUUUAACAAGUUUUUCUUUUGUGGUUACUGCCUUUGGGGUCCUAUUUAAGAAAUCUUUGCAUAUUCCAAGUUCAUAAAGAUUUCCCUUUUUCUUUAAAGCUUUAUUAUUUUACCUUUAACUUUUAGAUUUCCGUUUUUGAACUGAUGAUUUUUGCAUGCUAAAUGUCCAGAUACAUUUUAUUUUACAGAUAUCCAAUUGAGCCCAGCUUCAUCUAUUGAAAAGUCCAUUUUUUUCCCACUGUGAUAUAGCAUCACUUUUCUCACAAAUUCUAGGCAAAUUUUAAAGUUGAAAAACAACAUUAAGAAAAAUGACAUGAUGUGUAAUUAGUGCCCACUGUGAACAUUCACAUUUUAAAUGUUUUUUUCUUUUUUUGGAGUUGUUGAAAUAUUUAACAAAAUAUUUUAUUAACUUCUUAUCUAUUUUUAUUUAUUAAUUUAUUUAUUCAAUUCAGUGAGAAGCAGUGUAAUAAAAUGGCUGCUAUCUCUGUCCCUCAUCAUUGUGGUUUGUGAUGAUACUUCCUUGAGUGAUCUGCUGGUUUUUAUUAAGCUUUCUUGCCAUGUGCAGAUGACAAAUAAAAAAAGAGACAUGAACUAAAAGGUGUGCUUCUGCUCAUAGCUAUCUCUUCUCUCUAUUAAGGUAAUGUACUUGUCAAUAGACCUCAUAUACAUGCAGAGAAGUUUCUAGCUCCUUGGAAAUAUAUUUAUUUUACAAAGGAAAUCUUUAGUCCCAGAAAAAUGAAGUGACUUGUCACAGUACUGAUUGAAGAGACAGCCUGGAAUUGAAACCCAGAAAUCCUGCAUCUUAUUUCCUUUGAGACCCUUGUGUUUCUUUAAGAAACAAAGAAAAGAAAAAUGUGAGUCACGUACUCAUUUUGAAAACUUGGCAACUCAACAAAACUAUAAUUUCAGUAGCUUCUUUUUUUCUCCAUAUGAUUGGAGAUCAUUGGGUCUCUGAAUUUUGAGCUUAAAACAAUGGAAGCCCUAUUACCAGUCUCCUGAGGACAUCUACUAUGGUCUGAAUGUUUGUGUGCCCCAAAAAUUCAUAUGUUGAAAUCCCAACACCCAAAGAUCAUGGCAUUAGGAGGUGGGGCCUUUGGGAGGUGCUAAAGUCAUGGGGGCUGAGCCAUCAUGAAUGGGAUU
ensembl:lncRNA